UGUUUGAUGUUCUAACGUGGGCCCCUAAUCGGGGUUGCGGACAGUGUCUGGUGGGUAGUUUGACUGGGGCGGUCUCCUCCUAAAGAGUAACGGAGGAGCACGAAGGUUGGCUAAUCCUGGUCGGACAUCAGGAGGUUAGUGCAAUGGCAUAAGCCAGCUUGACUGCGAGCGUGACGGCGCGAGCAGGUGCGAAAGCAGGUCAUAGUGAUCCGGUGGUUCUGAAUGGAAGGGCCAUCGCUCAACGGAUAAAAGGUACUCCGGGGAUAACAGGCUGAUACCGCCCAAGAGUUCAUAUCGACGGCGGUGUUUGGCACCUCGAUGUCGGCUCAUCACAUCCUGGGGCUGAAGUAGGUCCCAAGGGUAUGGCUGUUCGCCAUUUAAAGUGGUACGCGAGCUGGGUUUAGAACGUCGUGAGACAGUUCGGUCCCUAUCUGCCGUGGGCGCUGGAGAACUGAGGGGGGCUGCUCCUAGUACGAGAGGACCGGAGUGGACGCAUCACUGGUGUUCGGGUUGUCAUGCCAAUGGCACUGCCCGGUAGCUAAAUGCGGAAGAGAUAAGUGCUGAAAGCAUCUAAGCACGAAACUUGCCCCGAGAUGAGUUCUCCCUGAGACUUAGAGUCUCCUGAAGGAACGUUGAAGACGACGACGUUGAUAGGCCGGGUGUGUAAGCGCAGCGAUGCGUUGAGCUAACCGGUACUAAUGAACCGUGAGGCUUAACCUUACAACGCCGAAG
rnacentral:rRNA from 1 species